AAUGCUGGGAGACGUUACCACGUGCUACCUCAUUCCGUGAUAUCAUCACCCAGCACCGC
rnacentral:pre_miRNA from 1 species